rnacentral:tRNA from 5 species
GGGGAUAUGGCGGAAUGGUAGACGCAGCGGACUCAAAAUCCGUUGGUUUCACAAGACCGUGAGGGUUCGACUCCCUCUAUCCCCA